rfam:Salmo salar isolate Sally breed double haploid chromosome ssa09, whole genome shotgun sequence.
UGUAGUUGCUCCUGUAACUCGCUCUGGAUAAGAGCAUCUGCUAAAUGACUAAAA